UUUUAGAAAGUAUUAUUGUUUAAACUUUAGAAUUUAAAUUUUUGAAGAAAUUUUGAAGUAAUUUUAAGUUAUAAUAUAUAUUUAAUAAGGUAUUGAUUUGUGUCAAUUUUUUUUAAAAAGUAAUAUUAAUAGUAUUGUUUUUAAAAAAAUAUUUAAAAAAUUUUUAAAAAUUAUUUAAAAAUAAAAAUUAAACAUAAAAUUUUUAUAUAUCUAAAAUUUAUAUUUACUUAUGUUUUAAAAA
rnacentral:tRNA from 1 species